UAAUCACUCGAAACCUUCCAAACUAACCCAUCAAUCAACCCUGUUACCAUGUUUACAAACUCCUAUUUAUACCCGAGCCUGUAACCACUCGACACACUCAUCCAUCCCCCCUGUUCGAUAACACACACGCACCCGUCUUGCCGGAACGACCAUACAUCACCGGAGUUCACGGUUCGCAUCGGAGUUUCGUGGACGUCGUGGGAAUAUUCUCUUCACGUCGAACUCUCAGAAGCAACGGAAGGGACCAGUCGCAACACACCUGCACCUUGUCGGAGUCACCGGAGACGUCCGAAGUUCACAAGCGGGGUUCCCUCCAUUUCGUUUCGUUUAAAUCUCUAGGAUAAUCGCUUCAUUCGAUCUCUUGGAUAUCUUUUACUCGUGCGCUAUCUUACAAGAAUUCGCAACGCAAUCAAUGUUGAUAGACAAGAUGAUGAAGAAGCAAGUUAGGGUGGACUAGAAACUUAC